AAAACAUGAAUAAAUGAAUUAACUACUACAUAAUAAACUGAUAUGGAUAUUGUAAUAUUUAUAUUUUUAUAGACUAAGAGAUAUACACAAGUGCAAACCUAGCAAGUAGGACCACAAUUCAAAUUAAGAGAUAUUGUGUAGUACCUACAGCUUUCUAGGUUAAACUAAGUUAAAUGACAAUAUUUUCAAAGGUGUUUCACAUAUGUAAAUUGGUAUACCAUAAGAGAUAUACUAGUAACUAAUUUGAUAUAUAGUUUGGUGUAAACAUUGGACGUAAAUCAUAUUCUUUCACGUAUUGAUCACACCUAACCAUGCCUUAUAAAAAGGAUUAAGCGAUCGUUGCAAAAAUAUUCCAGUUAACAAGUCUGGAGUCGAAUCCCACAAGAAAUUAACAUAUUAAACAUAGCUACUAGACUCGCACAAAUUCAAGCGAUCAAUCUUCAUAAAUAUUUAAAUAAGAAAUUGAAUGAUUACUAACUAAAUGUCAUGUAAUGAAAAUGCAGUAACUAAAAACCACCAUACAACAAAACAUGAAUAAAUGAAUUAACUACUACAUAAUAAACUGAUAUGGAUAUUGUAAUAUUUAUAUUUUUAUAGACUAAGAGAUAUACACAAGUGCAAACCUAGCAAGUAGGACCACAAUUCAAAUUAAGAGAUAUUGUGUAGUACCUACAGCUUUCUAGGUUAAACUAAGUUAAAUGACAAUAUUUUCAAAGGUGUUUCACAUAUGUAAAUUGGUAUACCAUAAGAGAUAUACUAGUAACUAAUUUGAUAUAUAGUUUGGUGUAAACAUUGGACGUAAAUCAUAUUCUUUCACGUAUUGAUCACACCUAACCAUGCCUUAUAAAAAGGAUUAAGCGAUCGUUGCAAAAAUAUUCCAGUUAACAAGUCUGGAGUCGAAUCCCACAAGAAAUUAACAUAUUAAACAU
rnacentral:lncRNA from 1 species